UACGUAGGGGGCGAGCGUUAUCCGGAUUCAUUGGGCGUAAAGCGCGCGUAGGCGGCCGCCUAAGCGGGACCUCUAACCCCGGGGCUCAACCCCGGGCCGGGUCCCGGACUGGGCGGCUCGAGUGCGGUAGAGGAGAGCGGAAUUCCCGGUGUAGCGGUGGAAUGCGCAGAUAUCGGGAAGAACACCGAUGGCGAAGGCAGCUUUCUGGGCCGUCACUGACGCUGAGGCGCGAAAGCUGGGGGAGCGAACAGG
rnacentral:rRNA from 1 species